GAUGAACGCUGGCGGCAGGCUUAACACAUGCAAGUCGAGCGGGGUGAUGGUGCUUGCACUAUCACUUAGCGGCGGACGGGUAAGUAAUGCUUAGGAAUCUGCCUAUUAGUGGGGGACAACAUCUCGAAAGGGAUGCUAAUACCGCAUACGUCCUACGGGAGAAAGCAGGGGAUCACUUGUGACCUUGCGCUAAUAGAUGAGCCUAGGUCGGAUUAGCUAGUUGGUGGGGUAAAGGCCUACCAAGGCGACGAUCUGUAGCGGGUCUGAGAGGAUGAUCCGCCACACGGGGACUGAGACACGGCCAAGACUCCUACGGGAGGCAGCAGUGGGGAAUAUUGGACAAUGGGGGGAACCCUGAUCCAGCGAUGCCGCGUGUGUGAAGAAGGCCUUAUGGUUGUAAAGCACUUUAAGCGAGGAGGAGGCUCUUUUGGUUAAUACCCAAGAUGAGUGGACGUUACUCGCAGAAUAAGCACCGGCUAACUCUGUGCCAGCCGCCGCCGUAAGAC
rnacentral:rRNA from 1 species